rnacentral:rRNA from 1 species
AUUAAGCCAUGCAUGUCUCAGUAUAAGUCUAUAUACGGCGAAACUGCGAAUGGCUCAUUAAAACAGUUAUAGUUUAUUUGAUGGUCAAUCGUUAUAUGGAUAACUGUGGUAAUUCUAGAGCUAAUACAUGCAUAAAGACCCAACUUCAAGGACGGGUUGUAUUUAUUAAAUACAGAACCAAUCCGGCUUGCCGGUUUUUGGAUGAUUCAUAAUAAAUGAACGGAGCGUAUGACAUGCGUCNACGCUGUAUCAUUCAAGUUUCUGACCUAUCANCUUCCGACGGUAGGGUAUUGGCCUACCGUGGCAUUUACGGGUAACGGAGAAUUAUGGUUCGAUUCCNGAGAGGGAGCCCGAGAAACGGCUACCACAUCUAAGGAAGGCGNCAGGCGCGCAAAUUACCCAAUCCUGAUACAGGGAGGUAGUGACAAGAAAUAACA